ensembl:lncRNA
UGUGGUAAUUUGUUUAUUUUUAGCGGUAGAGGGGGCCAUAAGAACUGUUUAUGUGUAAAACAUUUAUUUGCCAUUUAAGGCAGAAUGUCUUUCAUAAUAGCCAACAUUUUGAACACCAUAGGCUAUAACCUAUAAUAGUAUUGUAGAAAAUUCCCCCAUCAUGUUCAGGGAGAACAACCGUGAUACAUCUUAGUAGGAAGGGAGACCCUAGCCUAAUAUGUCAAGAUCUUCAAAUUAUAAACCUGUGAAUUAAUAAGGAUAUUCAUUGACCAUUACAGGCAUAUAGGCCUAAAAAAAGCCCAUUAUUAAUAAAACAAAGGCAAGUAUUUGUAUUGCUGACAGUCACACCCUUAUAUUUUGUCAAAGAAGAGGUCUUAGUGCUGUGGUUUAUGAUGAGGUUUCGGAUAAAGUGUAGGUUUCCAUUGGAGGAUAAGACAGGUGGUUUUGGGGAUGCGCCUUUUUGACCUGACGUCACUGGUGGGGGUAUAAAAUCCCUUAGAUUUGUCCUCCAGUCAUUCACUGUGAAAAAGCCAUCGACAGGACUAAGCGGCUGAGAAAGAAACCGACAACAAAAUGGCUAAAAUGUUGACGGCUUACAUUGGAUUCAUUCUCCUUGCCUUGCCUUGUUCAUCACAGUUCCUAUGACCGAAAGCAACUUUGGACAUCAGAACAACGAUCCCUAACCUCGAUUUGGAUGAAGAUUUCUAUUUCAGCGAGUCGGCAGCUGUGGACGUACUGCACAUUUCGGACCCUAAUCCCCGGGACUCAAAAGGGGAAGUGACGGUGCAAGAGCGGGCUCCCUGACGAGAAUACGCAGGACCUGAGCCCUAAGACCAUGCCCCAGGACUACCUGACAUGAUGACUCCUUGCUGUCCCCAGUCCACCUGGCCGUGCUGCUGCUCCAGUUUCAACUGUUCUGCCUUAUUAUUAUUCGACCAUGCUGGUCAUUUAUGAACAUUUGAACAUCUUGGCCAUGUUCUGUUAAAAUCUCCACCCGGCACAGCCAGAAGAGGACUGGCCACCCCACAUAUGCUCUCUCUAAUUCUCUCUUUCUUUCUCUCUCUCGGAGGACCUGAGCCCUAGGACCAUGCCCCAGGACUACCUGACAUGAUGACUCCUUGCUGUCCCCAGUCCAUCUGACCGUGCUGCUGCUCCAGUUUCAACUGUUCUGCCUUAUUAUUAUACGAUCAUGCUGGUCAUUUAUGAACAUUUGAACAUCUUGGCCAUGUUCUGUUACAAUCUCCACCCGGCACAGCCAGAAGAGGACUGGCCACCCCACAUAGUCUGGUUCCUCUCUAGGUUUCUUCCUAUGUUUUGGCCUUUCUAGGGAGUUUUUCCUAGCCACCGUGCUUCUACACCUGCAUUGCUUGCUGUUUGGGGUUUUAGGCUGGGUUUCUGUACAGCACUUUGAGAUAUCAGCUGAUGUACGAAGGGCUAUAUAAAUACAUUUGAUUUGAUUUGAUAUCAGCUAUGUUUGUUUAAAGGCAGUAAAUGAGGCUAAAUGAACUAUUUUGCUGCCAGACAAGGCUCUGCUGAUAGCCAGGUGUAGCAAUGGUAAGGGGUUGGGAAUGCUGUUGGGACUAUGGUUGCCCUAACAGUUUGUGAGCAUUUGUGAACAUUUUAUUGCAAUACAGAGUGGGAAAUUGACUGUGCGUUUGGACAAUUAAUAGACACUGCAAAGUCUACAAAGAGAGUGCACAAUUUUGCUGGUUAUGAGGUUGGGAGAUAGCGAACCUAUCUAGCUGGCUAGAUAAAGUCAAAUUCAUGAAAUUGAUUAGGUGGAUAAGAUUGCAGAGAAACAACAAAACAUUUUGGUUUUAUUUUUUGAUUAAGAAGGAAUCAAUAGGCUACAUAACUUAAUCAAAUGAAUUUACAACAUACCUCCUGCGAGUCCUUGCCUGGUCCAGUCAGUGUGCCCACUCCACAAAAUACCACUGACAGAUGUUUUCUAUAAAUAAUUACAAUAGAAAUGAAGUUUAGUGAUUAAUUUAACAUCUGAAAAAUAAUAACAAAUUGACAAAUCUGAGGGGGCACAUACCCUUGUGCCCCAUAUGGGCAUGAUGCCACUGUCCACGCUAGCCACUGGGAGGAUGCUCUUGUGCAUCCUCUGCUGAAGUAGGUCAUUAAUGGGAGGAGGACACUCAUUUGUUCACCUACAAUCAUUGACACUAUCCUAGACCCCUCGACUACUUAGUGGUUUACGAGUUACGGAGGAGAGGAGGACGGAGGAGUCAAGGAGAGAAUGGCAUAGCUGCGGGAAGAUGUUUUGAGUAGGGCGUGCUGACUGAAAAAAAAAAAUCACCUUUAUAAUAAAGUUACUACUUUUCCAAUAUUUCUCUAUUUUCUUUCUCUGCAUUGUUGGGAAUGGCCCGUAAGUUAGCAUUUCACUGUUAGUUUACACCUGUUGUUUACGAAGCAUGUGAUGAAUAAAAUUGGAUUUGAUUUCAACUCCAUCUCCACCACAGCACC